rnacentral:misc_RNA from 1 species
CUCUCUCUCUCUCUCUCUCAAUCUAGGAAUAUAGAUAGAAGGUGGUGGCUGAGAGAAUCAUGGUUUAUUUUUCUAUAUUCUUAGGGACAAAAGUACACAAUUCAGAGAGAGGCAGAAGCUGAUCGGGUGUACUGGUCCGGAGGGGCCUCAUGGGUGUUAUAAAUACUAGUUGAGGACAGUCUAGGGUUUUUGAAUAUUUUUGGAAUUUUCCCCGUUUUGGCAAACUACAUUUGUUGCCGUUUUAUUACCCGCCUUAAAUGAGCAGUUAGGAUGUUUCAAUUACCGGCCUGCCCCUAUCCUUCUAUUACAAUUACAUUACAGCUUCUGCCGCUCAUAUUUUACCUUGAACCAAAAAUAUCAAACGUAGUCUCAUCUCUCUCUAAUGACUAUAAAAGAAAGAUUGUAUAGAAUGUUUACUAGGAAAAAAACACCUCUACUGGUCUACUGUGCAUGGUGCCCUUGUAUUUUGAUGGUGAAGGGAAGUGUUCUGCACUGAUGGAUUCCCCCAAAAAAAAAAAAAAAUCUAGUUCAACAGGCAAAGUAGAAUGGUCCUCAUCAUCAUGUAACAGUGACAAAGAGUGAUUCCUAGGUAGCUACCAGCUAGGAAUAUAAAAAAGAUGGAUUCUUGGAUGGGGAAGUGGGGUUCUUUUGGUAAUUGGAUAGUUUUCUGGUGUAUAAUUUCUUGAUUUACCGGCGAUUCUUUACAGCCAGGGAGUAUUUUAGGCAUGAAGUGGAUGAUGGGUAUUUUGGUAUCUUGUCUGCAAGUACCAUGGGAACAGGGUAAGGCUUAAAGAAAAAAAAAAUCAGCAAAAGCCCUAUAUGGAGACUGACAGAAGAAUCUCCAUUACUGUUGUAACCUUCUCUUUUUCAUUUCCUUUUUUAAGGUGAAAAAAAGAUUGAAAGAGAAAAUUCCAAUUUUUUCUGUUUAAAACAAAUUGUUCAAAUAUGAUUUGAGUCUGUUCAUAUGGAACAGAGAACUUAAUUGGACCUUUUGCAUAAAGGCAUUCCACAUCAUGUUAAAUGCAAAAAUGCUCCAUAGCAUACUUUUUCUUUCCUUUUCGCUAAACAUUUUUGCUUGCAAGUUUUCACUCUAAUUGGAGGGGUGCUUGGGCCACAGGCAUGGCUAAUGUGCCCUUUAGCAGAGUUCCAGGCAGCAAUAACAGUGGAAAUAAAGCCUAGAGAAAAGAAUUUAUUACUGCUGUAAAUAUAAAAACAAAGAACAAGAACUAAUGUUUAGGUGAUAGAAAAAAUAAAAUAAAAUAAAAGGCAGCAGUUAUGUUUGAAGAAUUAAGUUCCUAAAUUUUGUAUAUAAUAUAAUUUUGCAACUGACACUUCACAAAGAUAAUUGUUGUGUCUACAAGGAGCAAAUGUUGAAUUUUAUCUAAAAAAAUAAUAUAAUUAAACAAUCCCCAAAAGGAAGUCUCUUUAAAAAUAAUUAUUUUUUUUUUAAGACAUAUCUCUACAUGUCAUUUAUUUAAUUCAAGCAAACAUGUCUUUUAGUCCUAGAAGGGCAGAAGAAGAAAGGAAUGGAACUUCUUUUAUCUGCUUACUUUUAGAUAGGACUAAAAGCAACCUAAGCUACAAAUCUCAUAAUUUUGUUCAGAGUUUACCAUUCACCCAUUAGCGCCUAUCUAAUUGAAGUAAAGGCAUAGUCUGGUUUGAUUUAAUGGUUAAAAGAAUAUAUUACUCACCCAGCGAAUUUCACUCUCGUACUCUCUCUAUUAAAAAAAAUCUAAAAUAAAAUAAAAUAAAGAAAAAAGGCCUUCACCAUUCACCA